UAGGCAGACCUGAAGUCCUUUAUUUAUCCACAGAACAUUUACAGUAUGGACACAGCAGUUCAAUAUGCCCUGUAUUGUAGCACUAAUAUGCUUCAGUUCUGACCACCUCAAUAGAAAGACGUUAGUUUAUUUUUCAUGGUCCUUUAACCCUUGCAGUC
rnacentral:sRNA from 1 species